GAUGAACGCUGGCGGCGUGCUUAACACAUGCAAGUCGAACGGAAAGGCUCCUGCUUGCAGGGGUACUCGAGUGGCGAACGGGUGAGUAACGCGUGGGUGAUCUGCCCUGCACUUCGGGAUAAGCCUGGGAAACUGGGUCUAAUACCGGAUAGGACGCUGGAUUGGAUGCCAUUGUGGAAUGUUUUUCGGUGUGGGCUGAGCUGGCGGCCUAUGAGCUUGUUGGUGGGGUAAUGGCCUACGAAGACGUCGAGGGGUAGCCGGCAUGAGAGGGGGGACGGCCACAUUGGGACUGAGAUACGGCCCAGACUCCUACGGGAGGCAGCAGUGGGGAAUAUUGCACAAUGGGGGCAAGUCUGAUGCAGAGACGCCGCGUGCGGGAUGACGGCCUUCGGGUUGUAAACUCCUUUCGUCGGAGACGAAGCGAAAGUGACGGUACCUGGAUAAGAAGCACCGGCUAACUACGUG
rnacentral:rRNA from 1 species